ensembl:lncRNA
UCAGCCAUAACAUUCAAAGCACUUAACAUGACUAAUCUCACUCUAGUCCAAUUCCACAGAAGAGCUACUGUAGCACAGAUUGCUGAAAAAGUUCAUACUGGCCCUGAUAGAUAGGUGUUAGAACACCGUGCAUCCCAGCUUGCUGUGUAUGGGACUGUGUAACUGCAAACCGAUCAGAGUGGCCAUGCCGACCACUGUCCACCGCCGAAAAUGCCUACAAUGGGUACGUGAGCAUCAGAACUGGACCGUGGAGCAAUGAAAGAAGGUGGCCUGGUCGUCUUUUACAUUAUGUGGACGGCCGGGUGCAUGUGCAUUGCUUACCUGGGGAAGAAAUGGCAUCAGGAUGCACUGUGGGCAGAAGGCAUGCUGGUGGAGGCGGUGUGAUGCUCCUGGGCAAUGUUCUUCUGGGAAACCUUGGGUCCUGGCAUUCAUGUGGAUUUUACUUUGACACGUACCACCUACUCAAACAUUGCUGCGGACCAAGUAAACCCCUUCAUGUCCAUGGUAUUCUCUAAUAGCAGUGGCCUCUUUCAGCAGGAUAAUGUGCACUGCCACACUGUAAAAAUUGUUCUGGAACGAUUUGAGAACAUGACCAAGAGUUGGUGUUAACUCUGCCUCCAAAUUCCCCAGGUCUCAAUCCGAUCUAGCAUCUGUGGGAUGUUUUGGACAAAAAAGUCCAACUUAAGUUUAAGUCGCAACUUACAGGAUGUAAAGGAUUUGAUGUCUUGGUGCCAGAUACCGCAGCACACCUUCAGAGACCUUGCGGAGUCCAUGCUUCGACGAGUCCGAGCUGUUUUGGGGCACAAGGAGGAACUACACAAUAUUAGUCAGGUUUUAAUGUUAUGGCUGAUCCGUGUAUAGCUCAGAAUACACUCAUCCUGGCAAGCACAAGUACUUAAAGUGAGUCUCUUAGCAAUUUUACUGUCUAUUUGCUUUAAACUAUGCACAUAUUGGCCUUACUAAGUAGCUGGCAUUCUGACCAGCUAGCAGAUUAAAACCCAAUUUGAAUGCAGCAAAUCAUUAUAUAUUUUGAAAUAUAAAGAAUUUUAUUGCUCCUGUUUUUAAACUACUUCACUCACGAUUACAAUUUUGAAAUCAGAUUGCGGUACCUUCUGUACUUUCUCUUCACUCAAUAUCUCCUCCAUUACACCUUGAGCUUCAGCUCAUAAAGUAUUGGAACAACCAUUUUUCAUAAGGUAAAAAGUUAAGGUGAAGUCAACCAGGGCGUGUGGGGAAAAACGUGUCGGAACGUAGAUUUGGCCUUCCAGACUAGGCUCAAAUUAGUUAUAAACACUUAAAAAUUAUUUUUACCAAUAAUAAUUUCUGCAUUUUUUUCGGGAGUAGUUCGAUUAAUUCCGGGAUCUACCCAUGAAACUGUAUUUAUGAAUUAAUUUAUUUUGAUGAUUUUUUUUCCUUUUCUUUUCCUAUGUAAAGAGACUGUGGCGCUCUGUUUUGUCGUCAUGGCAUCUUUCUCUCCUCAGGAUUGUGGACAGAUAUUAAUAAACCUCAGGGAAAAUGUAAGUAA